GAUGAAGAACGUAGCGAAAUGCGAUAAGUAGUGUGAAUUGCAGAAUUCAGUGAAUCAUCGAAUCUUUGAACGCACAUUGCGCCCCUUGGUACUCCAUGGGGCACGCCUGUUCGAGCGUCAUUUACACCCUCAAGCUCAGCUUGGUGUUGGGCGUCUGUCCCGCUUCGUGCGCGGACUCGCCUCAAAUGCAUUGGCAGCGGUCUUGCCAGCUUCUCGCGCAGCACAUUGCGCUUCUAGAGGCUUUGGCGGAUCGGCGUCCAUCAAGUACACCCACAGUUUGACCUCGGAUCAGGUAGGGAUACCCGCUGAACUUAAGCAUAUCAAUAAGCGGAGGA
rnacentral:misc_RNA from 1 species